AGCACAUUUGUUAACAGCUCAGUUGGCCGAGCAAUUUGUUUUUGUUUGUUUUAUGUUUGCUUUUGGUUCUCUAAUAAUGAGCAAUAUGGCUAGUAUGGUCGUGGAACUUGACGAUACUCCACGUCCAAUUGUCAUCACGUAUGACGGCAACAUAAGAAUAGAAGUUCGAUCCGGCGCAUCAAAACGCUCAGUUAGAGUUGUAUUUCAUAACUGCACUCCGAGAAACAUCAAAUUAUGUUGGGUUGAUUUCAAUGGCUCGUGUCAACCGUACGGUCUGUUAGAACCAGAUGGGAGAAUGAGCGUUUAUACUUUUGUGGAUCAUGUGUGGCACGCCUCGGAUUAUGGUCGGCCACUUUACUACUUAUUGAACGGGGUAUACUCAUUCGUGUGUCCAUCCCCAGACGAAGUUCGUUACCAACCUGGGGCUGAAAUCGUGAUUUAUGUGAGAAUUACAAGACCAUUAAUGGCCUUGCAAGAGCUGUCUGCAAUGACUGUGUCAAAGUCAUUGCGUGUAAGACAAGAUGUUUUGGGCCUUCAACUGCCAGUUCGUUUACAGCGAUUAGUGGCAGAAUGUUGGCAGCCUUAGAGAUAUAAAGUGCAUGGAACAUCUAAGCUCUAAAGAUGUGAUCUGAGUGAUUCAGCGUGAUAUUUUACUCUUGUAUGUUGCCAAUCUCUACUGUGGCUUUUUAUAUCUCACUUUUAUGUACC